rnacentral:sRNA from 1 species
CUGUAGCCCCGAUUGAAGCGGCAUCCCCGUAAUGCAAUGGAGGGAUAAAGUGCAAAGCGGGAAAUGCC